AGGCGGACGGGCGGGAAGGUGAGCAACAGGUGUUUACCUCAGAGCACGAGAAGAAGCGGAGCGCUGCGAGGGAAGGACAGAAGGCGGAAUCCAAGCAGCAUCGGGACCGAGGUUUCAGGAUCUGCUGCCGAAGAUGGAAGAAGCGGUGUGGAGAACCGGGAGGCAGGAGCGAAGAUGAAGAGGAAGCAGAAGCCUGCAGAUGCGGGGGGGAAGGAGAGAGGCACCCUGGGCAAAGCAUCUCCCUGCUAGCAGGGGCAUAGUCAAAUUGGAGUUGAGCGUUGCCGGCACCUUGGGUGACCAGGCCGGCUUUGUGCUGGGCGACCUCCCUGUAAGCAGGGCUCCGGUCUUUGCUGUAGUUGUAGUUGGCCUUUUGCCUUCUUGCUCCUUUGGCUGCCUGGGGAGCGUGGCCCCCUGUACGGAGGGCGAGAGCCACCUCUCCGCACCCGAGUGGGAAAUGGAGCUCGCUGGACCCCAGGGCCGCCCUGUAAGCAGGGUAGUGCCUUUCCCUGCCCCUCCUCCUCCGGCCCCUCAGUGCUGUUGCCUGCUGGUGGCCUGUUGAUGCGCCAGCCCUGUACUCGGGGUGCGUGUCGUGGCGUUUGGCCUUUGUCCUUUCUCAAGUAGCCCCUUGUCACGUUGAGGUCUGUGGCCUCCGUGCUGCCCGGGGAUGGGUCCCAGGCUCUUGCCUGUUGCUCGUAGGUGUGGGUUUAUUCCCAGGGCUUGGCUGCGCUGCGUUGUCCUUCCCUUCUGGAAAGUUGCAUCUGUGUGUGUGUUCCCCUUCCUUUCCUUGUUUGUGUUUGUGGAGUGACUGAGCACGUGUGCUUUCCCUUUAGGCCUCCUCAAAGAUUGCUGCAGCUUAGCUGUGACUUCCCAGGGGGGAAUGGAGGACUUUGGUGCAUGCCGCAUGAGGGGUGUUCCCUCUCACCUUAGUCCUGCGAGCGCAGCGGAUGUCCUGUGUGUCCUGUCUCCUUUAUGCUUAGUAGAGAUCUGAGCCACGUGGUAGUUGUGUGGCCAAGGCCACCCUGUAUCCAGGGCUUGGGCCUGUCCUUGCAUGGCCGCCUGUUCUGCUGGCGGCGUGACAGCCCUGUACUCGGGGUGCAUGUCACAAGCCCUCUGUUCCCCUGAGCAGCCCGUCCCCUGUACCCCUAUGCUCCCUGUAAUCAGGGCUGGGGAGGCUGCAGCGCUGCAGCCGGCUGCUUUAGCCAUCCAGCUGGUGGGAGUGACCCCUCCCUGUCCCGUCAGAGGGUGCAGGUUGAGGUGCUGAUUGUGUGUGGGGUGACCUCCCCGCUCGGUGGGUUGAGGUUGCUCUCUGGGCUCCCAAAGAUGUGCUGAUGUUGUGCUGCCGGGCGGGCCAGCCUGUAACUCAGGCAUUGGCGGGAGCCACGUGCUCCGUGGGGCUUCUUGGAGAUAGAUGGUGAGGCGUGGGGCGCCGUCCUGUCGGCAGGGCCGUGCGUGCCCCCUGUGCUUGGUGAGCUGUGUUCUGAGAGAGAGAGACCCCCUGUAGUCAGGCGGGAAUGUGGCCCCGGCCUUUCAGAGGCACGGGGCCGCGAGAUGUGGGGCUGGGCUUGCGCCCUCCCUGGACUUGGGGCUGGCAUCCCGACCGCGGCCUUUGGCCGUGUUGCCCCGCUGCCUGGCGGCUCAGAGUUGCUCCUGCUGCUGGGGGGGAAACCGAGCUCUGUGGCUCCAGGGGUGUUGUCUGCCCGCCUGUAGUCAGGGUCUGGGCGUGCGAGCCUCUAUGCUCUGCUGGCAGCCCGUGUGGGGUGACCGCCCUGUUAGCGGGCGGCGGGUCAAAGCGCCCCCGACUGGGAGAGAAGGAGCCUCCCGCGGCCUUAGGGAUGGGGCUGCCCUGUAACUCAGGGAGCGGCUGUGCCCCGCAGUCCCAGGCCCUUUGCCAUGGAGACAGCGGCUGAGGGUCCCCUGUAAGCAGGGAAGCAGACUCCUUUGCCGCUGCUUUUAGUGUGCCCAGCUGCAUUUGCCCAGUCUGCCCGCCUCUGCGAUCCCCUGCAGCGCCGGCUGGAGCCUCUACCGUGCGCCCUUGAGGAUCUGCUGCCGAAGAUGGAAGAAGCGGUGUGGAGAACCGGGAGGCAGGAGCGAAGAUGAAGAGGAAGCAGAAGCCUGCAGAUGCGGGGGGGAAGGAGAGAGGCACCCUGGGCAAAGCAUCUCCCUGCUAGCAGGGGCAUAGUCAAAUUGGAGUUGAGCGUUGCCGGCACCUUGGGUGACCAGGCCGGCUUUGUGCUGGGCGACCUCCCUGUAAGCAGGGCUCCGGUCUUUGCUGUAGUUGUAGUUGGCCUUUUGCCUUCUUGCUCCUUUGGCUGCCUGGGGAGCGUGGCCCCCUGUACGGAGGGCGAGAGCCACCUCUCCGCACCCGAGUGGGAAAUGGAGCUCGCUGGACCCCAGGGCCGCCCUGUAAGCAGGGUAGUGCCUUUCCCUGCCCCUCCUCCUCCGGCCCCUCAGUGCUGUUGCCUGCUGGUGGCCUGUUGAUGUGCCAGCCCUGUACUUGUAUGUCUGUCAAUUGGCAUGGAGCCCUCUGUCCCCCAAGCGGCCUACUGCCCCUAUGCUCCCUGUAAUCAGGGCUGGGGAGGCUGCUGCGCUGCAGCCGGCUGCUUUAGCCAUCCAGCUGGUGGGAGUGACCCCUCCCUGUCCCGUCAGAGGGUGCAGGUUGAGGUGCUGAUUGUGUGUGGGGUGACCUCCCCGCUCGGUGGGUUGAGGUUGCUCUCUGGGCUCCCAAAGAUGUGCUGAUGUUGUGCUGCCGGGCGGGCCAGCCUGUAACUCAGGCAUUGGCGGGAGCCACGUGCUCCGUGGGGCUUCUUGGAGAUAGAUGGUGAGGCGUGGGGCGCCGUCCUGUCGGCAGGGCCGUGCGUGCCCCCUGUGCUUGGUGAGCUGUGUUCUGAGAGAGAGAGACCCCCUGUAAGAGACCCCCUGUAGUCAGGCGGGAAUGUGGCCCCGGCCUUUCAGAGGCACGGGGCCGCGAGAUGUGGGGCUGGGCUUGCGCCCUCCCUGGACUUGGGGCUGGCAUCCCGACCGCGGCCUUUGGCCGUGUUGCCCCGCUGCCUGGCGGCUCAGAGUUGCUCCUGCUGCUGGGGGGGAAACCGAGCUCUGUGGCUCCAGGGGUGUUGUCUGCCCGCCUGUAGUCAGGGUCUGGGCGUGCGAGCCUCUAUGCUCUGCUGGCAGCCCGUGUGGGGUGACCGCCCUGUUAGCGGGCGGCGGGUCAAAGCGCCCCCGACUGGGAGAGAAGGAGCCUCCCGCGGCCUUAGGGAUGGGGCUGCCCUGUAACUCAGGGAGCGGCUGUGCCCCGCAGUCCCAGGCCCUUUGCCAUGGAGACAGCGGCUGAGGGUCCCCUGUAAGCAGGGAAGCAGACUCCUUUGCCGCUGCUUUUAGUGUGCCCAGCUGCAUUUGCCCAGUCUGCCCGCCUCUGCGAUCCCCUGCAGCGCCGGCUGGAGCCUCUACCGUGCGCCCUUGAGGAUCUGCUGCCGAAGAUGGAAGAAGCGGUGUGGAGAACCGGGAGGCAGGAGCGAAGAUGAAGAGGAAGCAGAAGCCUGCAGAUGCGGGGGGGAAGGAGAGAGGCACCCUGGGCAAAGCAUCUCCCUGCUAGCAGGGGCAUAGUCAAAUUGGAGUUGAGCGUUGCCGGCACCUUGGGUGACCAGGCCGGCUUUGUGCUGGGCGACCUCCCUGUAAGCAGGGCUCCGGUCUUUGCUGUAGUUGUAGUUGGCCUUUUGCCUUCUUGCUCCUUUGGCUGCCUGGGGAGCGUGGCCCCCUGUACGGAGGGCGAGAGCCACCUCUCCGCACCCGAGUGGGAAAUGGAGCUCGCUGGACCCCAGGGCCGCCCUGUAAGCAGGGUAGUGCCUUUCCCUGCCCCUCCUCCUCCGGCCCCUCAGUGCUGUUGCCUGCUGGUGGCCUGUUGAUGUGCCAGCCCUGUACUUGUAUGUCUGUCAAUUGGCAUGGAGCCCUCUGUCCCCCAAGCGGCCUACUGCCCCUAUGCUCCCUGUAAUCAGGGCUGGGGAGGCUGCUGCGCUGCAGCCGGCUGCUUUAGCCAUCCAGCUGGUGGGAGUGACCCCUCCCUGUCCCGUCAGAGGGUGCAGGUUGAGGUGCUGAUUGUGUGUGGGGUGACCUCCCCGCUCGGUGGGUUGAGGUUGCUCUCUGGGCUCCCAAAGAUGUGCUGAUGUUGUGCUGCCGGGCGGGCCAGCCUGUAACUCAGGCAUUGGCGGGAGCCACGUGCUCCGUGGGGCUUCUUGGAGAUAGAUGGUGAGGCGUGGGGCGCCGUCCUGUCGGCAGGGCCGUGCGUGCCCCCUGUGCUUGGUGAGCUGUGUUCUGAGAGAGAGAGACCCCCUGUAGUCAGGCGGGAAUGUGGCCCCGGCCUUUCAGAGGCACGGGGCCGCGAGAUGUGGGGCUGGGCUUGCGCCCUCCCUGGACUUGGGGCUGGCAUCCCGACCGCGGCCUUUGGCCGUGUUGCCCCGCUGCCUGGCGGCUCAGAGUUGCUCCUGCUGCUGGGGGGGAAACCGAGCUCUGUGGCUCCAGGGGUGUUGUCUGCCCGCCUGUAGUCAGGGUCUGGGCGUGCGAGCCUCUAUGCUCUGCUGGCAGCCCGUGUGGGGUGACCGCCCUGUUAGCGGGCGGCGGGUCAAAGCGCCCCCGACUGGGAGAGAAGGAGCCUCCCGCGGCCUUAGGGAUGGGGCUGCCCUGUAACUCAGGGAGCGGCUGUGCCCCGCAGUCCCAGGCCCUUUGCCAUGGAGACAGCGGCUGAGGGUCCCCUGUAAGCAGGGAAGCAGACUCCUUUGCCGCUGCUUUUAGUGUGCCCAGCUGCAUUUGCCCAGUCUGCCCGCCUCUGCGAUCCCCUGCAGCGCCGGCUGGAGCCUCCACCGUGCACCCCUGAGGAUCUGCUGCCGAAGAUGGAAGGAGCGGUGUGGAGAACCGGGAGGCAGGAGCGAAGAUGAAGAGGAAGCAGAAGCCUGCAGAUGCGGGGGGGAAGGAGAGAGGCACCCUGGGCAAAGCAUCUCCCUGCUAGCAGGGGCAUAGUCAAAUUGGAGUUGAGCGUUGCCGGCACCUUGGGUGACCAGGCCGGCUUUGUGCUGGGCGACCUCCCUGUAAGCAGGGCUCCGGUCUUUGCUGUAGUUGUAGUUGGCCUUUUGCCUUCUUGCUCCUUUGGCUGCCUGGGGAGCGUGGCCCCCUGUACGGAGGGCGAGAGCCACCUCUCCGCACCCGAGUGGGAAAUGGAGCUCGCUGGACCCCAGGGCCGCCCUGUAAGCAGGGUAGUGCCUUUCCCUGCCCCUCCUCCUCCGGCCCAUCAGUGCUGUUGCCUGCUGGUGGCCUGUUGAUGCGCCAGCCCUGUACUCGGGGUGCGUGUCGUGGCGUUUGGCCUUUGUCCUUUCUCAAGUAGCCCCUUGUCACGUUGAGGUCUGUGGCCUCCGUGCUGCCCGGGGAUGGGUCCCAGGCUCUUGCCUGUUGCUCAUAGGUGUGGGUUUAUUCCCAGGGCUUGGCUGCGCUGCGUUGUCCUUCCCUUCUGGAAAGUUGCAUCUGUGUGUGUGUUCCCCUUCCUUUCCUUGUUUGUGUUUGUGGAGUGACUGAGCACGUGUGCUUUCCCUUUAGGCCUCCUCAAAGAUUGCUGCAGCUUAGCUGUGACUUCCCAGGGGGGAAUGGAGGACUUUGGUGCAUGCCGCAUGAGGGGUGUUCCCUCUCACCUUAGUCCUGCGAGCGCAGCGGAUGUCCUGUGUGUCCUGUCUCCUUUAUGCUUAGUAGAGAUCUGAGCCACGUGGUAGUUGUGUGGCCAAGGCCACCCUGUAUCCAGGGCUUGGGCCUGUCCUUGCAUGGCCGCCUGUUCUGCUGGCGGCGUGACAGCCCUGUACUCGGGGUGCAUGUCACAAGCCCUCUGUUCCCCUGAGCAGCCCGUCCCCUGUACCCCUAUGCUCCCUGUAAUCAGGGCUGGGGAGGCUGCAGCGCUGCAGCCGGCUGCUUUAGCCAUCCAGCUGGUGGGAGUGACCCCUCCCUGUCCCGUCAGAGGGUGCAGGUUGAGGUGCUGAUUGUGUGUGGGGUGACCUCCCCGCUCGGUGGGUUGAGGUUGCUCUCUGGGCUCCCAAAGAUGUGCUGAUGUUGUGCUGCCGGGCGGGCCAGCCUGUAACUCAGGCAUUGGCGGGAGCCACGUGCUCCGUGGGGCUUCUUGGAGAUAGAUGGUGAGGCGUGGGGCGCCGUCCUGUCGGCAGGGCCGUGCGUGCCCCCUGUGCUUGGUGAGCUGUGUUCUGAGAGAGAGAGAGACCCCCUGUAGUCAGGCGGGAAUGUGGCCCCGGCCUUUCAGAGGCACGGGGCCGCGAGAUGUGGGGCUGGGCUUGCGCCCUCCCUGGACUUGGGGCUGGCAUCCCGACCGCGGCCUUUGGCCGUGUUGCCCCACUGCCUGGCGGCUCAGAGUUGCUCCUGCUGCUGGGGGGGAAACCGAGCUCUGUGGCUCCAGGGGUGUUGUCUGCCCGCCUGUAGUCAGGGUCUGGGCGUGCGAGCCUCUAUGCUCUGCUGGCAGCCCGUGUGGGGUGACCGCCCUGUUAGCGGGCGGCGGGUCAAAGCGCCCCCGACUGGGAGAGAAGGAGCCUCCCGCGGCCUUAGGGAUGGGGCUGCCCUGUAACUCAGGGAGCGGCUGUGCCCCGCAGUCCCAGGCCCUUUGCCAUGGAGACAGCGGCUGAGGGUCCCCUGUAAGCAGGGAAGCAGACUCCUUUGCCGCUGCUUUUAGUGUGCCCAGCUGCAUUUGCCCAGUCUGCCCGCCUCUGCGAUCCCCUGCAGCGCCGGCUGGAGCCUCCACCGUGCACCCCUGAGGAUCUGCUGCCGAAGAUGGAAGGAGCGGUGUGGAGAACCGGGAGGCAGGAGCGAAGAUGAAGAGGAAGCAGAAGCCUGCAGAUGCGGGGGGGAAGGAGAGAGGCACCCUGGGCAAAGCAUCUCCCUGCUAGCAGGGGCAUAGUCAAAUUGGAGUUGAGCGUUGCCGGCACCUUGGGUGACCAGGCCGGCUUUGUGCUGGGCGACCUCCCUGUAAGCAGGGCUCCGGUCUUUGCUGUAGUUGUAGUUGGCCUUUUGCCUUCUUGCUCCUUUGGCUGCCUGGGGAGCGUGGCCCCCUGUACGGAGGGCGAGAGCCACCUCUCCGCACCCGAGUGGGAAAUGGAGCUCGCUGGACCCCAGGGCCGCCCUGUAAGCAGGGUAGUGCCUUUCCCUGCCCCUCCUCCUCCGGCCCAUCAGUGCUGUUGCCUGCUGGUGGCCUGUUGAUGCGCCAGCCCUGUACUCGGGGUGCGUGUCGUGGCGUUUGGCCUUUGUCCUUUCUCAAGUAGCCCCUUGUCACGUUGAGGUCUGUGGCCUCCGUGCUGCCCGGGGAUGGGUCCCAGGCUCUUGCCUGUUGCUCGUAGGUGUGGGUUUAUUCCCAGGGCUUGGCUGCGCUGCGUUGUCCUUCCCUUCUGGAAAGUUGCAUCUGUGUGUGUGUUCCCCUUCCUUUCCUUGUUUGUGUUUGUGGAGUGACUGAGCACGUGUGCUUUCCCUUUAGGCCUCCUCAAAGAUUGCUGCAGCUUAGCUGUGACUUCCCAGGGGGGAAUGGAGGACUUUGGUGCAUGCCGCAUGAGGGGUGUUCCCUCUCACCUUAGUCCUGCGAGCGCAGCGGAUGUCCUGUGUGUCCUGUCUCCUUUAUGCUUAGUAGAGAUCUGAGCCACGUGGUAGUUGUGUGGCCAAGGCCACCCUGUAUCCAGGGCUUGGGCCUGUCCUUGCAUGGCCGCCUGUUCUGCUGGCGGCGUGACAGCCCUGUACUCGGGGUGCAUGUCACAAGCCCUCUGUUCCCCUGAGCAGCCCGUCCCCUGUACCCCUAUGCUCCCUGUAAUCAGGGCUGGGGAGGCUGCAGCGCUGCAGCCGGCUGCUUUAGCCAUCCAGCUGGUGGGAGUGACCCCUCCCUGUCCCGUCAGAGGGUGCAGGUUGAGGUGCUGAUUGUGUGUGGGGUGACCUCCCCGCUCGGUGGGUUGAGGUUGCUCUCUGGGCUCCCAAAGAUGUGCUGAUGUUGUGCUGCCGGGCGGGCCAGCCUGUAACUCAGGCAUUGGCGGGAGCCACGUGCUCCGUGGGGCUUCUUGGAGAUAGAUGGUGAGGCGUGGGGCGCCGUCCUGUCGGCAGGGCCGUGCGUGCCCCCUGUGCUUGGUGAGCUGUGUUCUGAGAGAGAGAGACCCCCUGUAGUCAGGCGGGAAUGUGGCCCCGGCCUUUCAGAGGCACGGGGCCGCGAGAUGUGGGGCUGGGCUUGCGCCCUCCCUGGACUUGGGGCUGGCAUCCCGACCGCGGCCUUUGGCCGUGUUGCCCCACUGCCUGGCGGCUCAGAGUUGCUCCUGCUGCUGGGGGGGAAACCGAGCUCUGUGGCUCCAGGGGUGUUGUCUGCCCGCCUGUAGUCAGGGUCUGGGCGUGCGAGCCUCUAUGCUCUGCUGGCAGCCCGUGUGGGGUGACCGCCCUGUUAGCGGGCGGCGGGUCAAAGCGCCCCCGACUGGGAGAGAAGGAGCCUCCCGCGGCCUUAGGGAUGGGGCUGCCCUGUAACUCAGGGAGCGGCUGUGCCCCGCAGUCCCAGGCCCUUUGCCAUGGAGACAGCGGCUGAGGGUCCCCUGUAAGCAGGGAAGCAGACUCCUUUGCCGCUGCUUUUAGUGUGCCCAGCUGCAUUUGCCCAGUCUGCCCGCCUCUGCGAUCCCCUGCAGCGCCGGCUGGAGCCUCCACCGUGCACCCCUGAGGAUCUGCUGCCGAAGAUGGAAGGAGCGGUGUGGAGAACCGGGAGGCAGGAUUGAGCAAGAAGUGGAAGCUUUUUACUGUCUUAUUUCAUGUGAUUCUUUGGUGUUUUGUACCUGCUGUAUGUAGUUGUAUGUGGUACUUGAUUUCUUCUUAUUGCUUGCAUUUUGUCCUAAGAAUAAAAUUUUUGUGCUUGUU